rfam:Chlorocebus sabaeus isolate 1994-021 chromosome 29, whole genome shotgun sequence.
AUCCUUUUGUAGUUCCAAAGCAUGAUGAUUGGGUGUACACAUGUGUAAGAUGUGCCUCCCUCACACCUUGGCACAACAUUAGCAUAUUACCCAUCCAACA